UGCUGCUUGCUCGGCAGUACAUAUGAAAACUUAGAAUGGAUACAGAGAAGAUUAGCAUGGCCCCUGCGAAAGGAUUACACACACAUUUGUGAGUCAGGCUCCUUAGAU